rnacentral:rRNA from 1 species
AACGAACGCUGGCGGCAGGCCUAACACAUGCAAGUCGAACGCCGUAGCAAUACGGAGUGGCAGACGGGUGAGUAACGCGUGGGAACAUACCCCUCGGUUCGGAAUAACUUAGGGAAACUUGAGCUAAUACCGGAUACGUCCGAGGUUUUAACCGGCCUCGGAGAAAGAUUUAUCGCCGGAGGAUUGGCCCGCGUCUGAUUAGCUUGUUGGUGAGUAAUGGCUCACCAAGGCGACGAUCAGAGCUGGUCUGAGAGGAUGAUCAGCCACAUUGGGACUGAGACACGGCCCAAACUCCUACGGGAGGCAGCAGUGGGGAAUAUUGGACAAUGGGCGAAAGCCUGAUCCAGCCAUGCCGCGUGAGUGAUGAA